UCCGCGCGCCCAGACAGGAAAGGGGGCGGUUCUGGAGGCCGUCGCUCUGUCUAUUCUCCCCUUUCCCUUCUUCGCUCUUCCCCGUGGAGCCUCGUCGACGAUUCGCGACGCCGCCUCUCCGUGCUCCUCCCCGUCGAGGCGUGUCGGUGUCGCGGCGAUUCAAGAGGUGUGGAGAUACUUGUCGGUGAGGCGCGAGAGCGGCACCGCAAGGCGCGGCCAACCGGCGAGGGCGGGUGGAGUGGAAGUACGCCGGCGCGAGGGACGGCGCCCAGUUACGCCGCGAGAUCGCCACGCUCAAGCUGCUCGGCCACCCCAACGUCGUCCGCCUCCACGAGCAAGCAGCCCUUGUGCUGAAUGCAUCAAGGCGCUUUAGGUACACUCUCGAUUUGAAAAAGGAGGAACAAAAGGAGGAAAUCAGGAGAAAAAUCCGUGCACAGGCACAUGUUAUAAGGGCUUCUCACGCCACCAGGAACUCCCCUAUUCCCAUCUCUAGAAGUUGAGUCAAAAAGGUCCCCAGUGAGCCAAGCUGGAACGCUAAAGACUCGUCCAACUGCCUUAAAAUCUAGGGAAAGACAUAUGUUCAAAAAGCUUGCACUAGGAAAACUCUUUUUGAGAGGUUGUGGAGGUCCCUCUUCUUCUUUACAUUACCAUCAGGAUGAUGGUUGGGAUCAGAUGAUGGAAGCUGCUGCACUAAAAUCCAUGGUGGUGUAUGCAAAGUACCAUCUCAUCAGGUUCAAGGAGCAGAGAGGAAGGAUUUGAGAGCACCACGAAUGAUUACAUUUGGUGUUGCUUAUAAAUGUAUUUGAAGAGCCUGCAGCAGAUCCGGUAAGCAUUUCUGCAUCAUAAUUGGUGAUCCUUGAUGUUCCAUUUGCAACAUGAUUUGUAGCUUCUGAACAGUCAGGUGUUAUAUUCAUUGUGAAGUUUCUACAGGAUCAUGUUGUUGAUGUAUUCAAAGCAGAUGUAAAAGGGCAUGCAUAUAUGCAGGUAUGUAAAAGUGUUUUUCUAAACAGUCAGGUGUUUUUUGCAAACUUGGUUUCUUUUUCUUUCUGUAUCAUUCUAUCUACCUUUAUUCCACAUGAGAACCUCUAAGUGCUGGAUCUUUUUUUUGAACAAAAGUGAUGGAUCUGUUACUACUCCACAGUGAGCAACCAGGCCACACCCUGCUAUUUGAUUAAGUACAAGUAGCGGGACAUCUUUUUCAUCCUAAUUGUCUUUUCCUUGGAUCUAAAUUCUCCUAUUUUUUUGUCCUAAAUUGCUGUUGUUUUUUGUUGCUUUUUGAGAAAGUAGAUUGAAAAGAUUAGGAUACUAACCUUUGGUGAUGAGGUAUAGUUCAGGCUUGUAGCGCUUCUUCUUGAAAAUUUCCUCUUUUUUGCAAUCUGAUUUUUUCCCCUUUCCCCUGCUCUUCGUGAGGAGAGCAGAGGCUUUCCCCACGCACAUCAGAUCUGUUUUCCUCUCCGUUGCUUCUCUCCCAAGUCUGUGUCCUAUAUAUGCUAUAGAUUGCUGGGAUUGGGCUUUUUAUUAUGGGCUGAACACUCAGAUCUAUUAAAUGGGUUUUUUUCUUUUAUUAUGGGCUGUACAGAAAUUACAAUGGGUUUUCUCUACAUGGGCCUCUAUGGGUUGAUGCUGUUAAAUGGGUCUUUUUCCUUUUAUUGUGGGCUGUACAGAAAUUACAAUGGGUUUUCUCUACAUGGGCCUCUAUGGGUUGAUGCUGUUAAAUGGGUCUUUUUUCUUUUAUUAUGGGCUGUACAGAAAUUAUAAUGGAUUUUCUCUGCAUGGGCCUCGUGGGCCUCUUUUAGAAUGUAGGCAACCAACAAUCAUGUGCUAACUUGUUAUAAAACACACAGAUUCUUGUUCUA